GGAUUCAGCGGCGGACGGGUGAGUAAUGCCUAGGAAUCUGCCUGGUAGUGGGGGAUAACGUCCGGAAACGGGCGCUAAUACCGCAUACGUCCUGAGGGAGAAAGUGGGGGAUCUUCGGACCUCACGCUAUCAGAUGAGCCUAGGUCGGAUUAGCUAGUUGGUGGGGUAAAGGCCUACCAAGGCGACGAUCCGUAACUGGUCUGAGAGGAUGAUCAGUCACACUGGAACUGAGACACGGUCCAGACUCCUACGGGAGGCAGCAGUGGGGAAUAUUGGACAAUGGGCGAAAGCCUGAUCCAGCCAUGCCGCGUGUGUGAAGAAGGUCUUCGGAUUGUAAAGCACUUUAAGUUGGGAGGAAGGGCAGUAAGUUAAUACCUUGCUGUUUUGACGUUACCAACAGAAUAAGCACCGGCUAACUUCGUGCCAGCAGCCGCGGUAAUACGAAGGGUGCAAGCGUUAAUCGGAAUUACUGGGCGUAAAGCGCGCGUAGGUGGUUCAGCAAGUUGGAUGUGAAAUCCCCGGGCUCAACCUGGGAACUGCAUCCAAAACUACUGAGCUAGAGUACGGUAGAGGGUGGUGGAAUUUCCUGUGUAGCGGUGAAAUGCGUAGAUAUAGGAAGGAAC
rnacentral:rRNA from 1 species